GGUGGAACGAGGGCUUAACUGUCUCCCCCCUCUAGUCAAUGAAAUUGAUCUACCCGUGCAGAAGCGGGUAUAAUAAUACAAGACGAGAAGACCCUUUGGAGCUUAAGACAAAAAACCAACUAUGUCAAAAGUCCUAGAAACUAAACCAAAUAGCACUGGUCCCAGUCUUCGGUUGGGGUGACCGCGGGAGAAAAUAAAGCUCCCAUGCGGACUGGGGUCCCCCUAAAACUAAGAGAGACAUCUCUAAGGCACAGAACAUCUGACCAAAAAGAUCCGGCUACAUGCCGACCAACGAACCAAGUUACCCUAGGGAUAACAGCGCAAUCCCCUUCCAGAGUCCAUAUCGACGAGGGGGUUUACGACCUCGAUGUUGGAUCAGGAC
rnacentral:rRNA from 1 species